rnacentral:misc_RNA from 1 species
GGCAAAGAGAAAUUGACUGGUAAUGGGUCAAGGGAGGAUAAUGAAUUAUUGUCUCCUUCCAAGGAAGGGAAAGGAAAGAGAUUAUGGAAGAAAGUGAAGUACCAGCUUGUGGAGUAUCAUUCAUUGCCUGGGUAUUUGAAAGACAACGAAUACAUUCUGGGUCAUUACCGGGCCGAAUGGCCAUUGAAGCAAGCAUUGCUCAGCAUCUUCACAAUUCACAAUGAGACCCUCAAUGUUUGGACGCAUUUGAUAGGGUUCUUCCUCUUCCUUGCGCUCACAAUUUAUACUGCAACCAAAGUUCCCAAGGUUGUAGAUCUACAUUCCUUACAGAAUCUGCCUGAUGUGCUAAGGAAGGCUGAUUUGCACAAAUUACAAGCAGAACUUUUAACUUGUCUUCCUUCUUUGCCGUAUAUGCCUGAUUUGCACAAACUUC